rnacentral:rRNA from 1 species
GACGAACGCUGGCGGCGUGCUUAACACAUGCAGGUCGAACGGUAAGGCCUUUCGGGGUACACGAGUGGCGAACGGGUGAGUAACACGUGGGUGAUCUGCCCUGCACUUCGGGAUAAGCCCGGGAAACUGGGUCUAAUACCGGAUAGGACUGCGCGGUGCAUGCCGUGUGGUGGAAAGAUUUAUCGGUGCAGGAUGGGCCCGCGGCCUAUCAGCUUGUUGGUGGGGUAAUGGCCUUCCAAGGCGACGACGGGUAGCCGGCCUGAGAGGGCGACCGGCCACACUGGGACUGAGACACGGCCCAGACUCCUACGGGAGGCAGCAGUGGGAAAUAUUGCACAAUGGGCGCAAGCCUGAUGCAGCGACGCCGCGUGAGGGAUGACGGCCUUCGGGUUGUAAACCUCUUUCAGCAGGGACGAAGCGUGAGUGACGGUACCUGCAGAAGAAGCACCGGCAAACUACGUG